CCUACGGGUGGCAGCAGUGGGGAAUAUUGGGCAAUGGAGGAAACUCUGACCCAGCCAUGCCGCGUGAGUGAUGAAGGCUCUAGGGUUGUAAAGCUCUUUCGCCGAUGAAGAUAAUGACGGUAGUCGGAGAAGAAGCCCCGGCUAACUUCGUGCCAGCAGCCGCGGUAAUACGAAGGGGGCUAGCGUUGUUCGGAAUUACUGGGCGUAAAGCGCACGUAGGCUGUGCCGCAAGUCAGGGGUGAAAUCCCAGAGCUCAACUCUGGAACUGCCUUUGAAACUGCGGUGCUAGAAUCUCAGAGGGGGUAGCGGAAUUCCAAAUGUAGGGGUGAAAUCCGUAGAUAUUUGGAGGAACACCGGUGGCGAAGGCGGCUACCUGGAUGAGUAUUGACGCUGAGGUGCGAAAGCGUGGGGAUCAAACAGGAUUAGAUACCCCAGUAGUC
rnacentral:rRNA from 1 species